rnacentral:rRNA from 1 species
UCACUGGGUUUAAAGGGUGCGUAGGUGGUUUUUUAAGUCAGGGGUGAAAGACGGCAGCUUAACUGUCGCAGUGCCUUUGAUACUGAAGAACUUGAAUUAACUAGAGGUAGGCGGAAUGUGACAAGUAACGGUGAAAUGCAUAGAUAUGUCACAGAACACCAAUUGCGAAGGCAGCUUACUAUGGUUAUAUUGACACUGAGGCACGAAAGCGUGGGGAUCAAACAGGAUUAGAUACCCUGGUAGUCCACGCCCUAAACGAUGAAUACUCGAUGUUGGCGAUAUACGGUCAGCGUCUAAGCGAAAGCGUUAAGUAUUCCACCUGGGGAGUACGCCCGCAAGGGUGAAACUCAAAGGAAUUGACGGGGGCCCGCACAAGCGGAGGAGCAUGUGGUUUAAUUCGAUGCUACGCGAGGAACCUUA